GGUUUAAACCCUUCCCGUACUA
rnacentral:tRNA from 1 species